rnacentral:rRNA from 1 species
UUUCUGACCUAUCAGCUUUAGACGGUAGGGUAUUGGCCUACCGUGGCUAUGACGGGUAACGGGGAAUUAGGGUUCGAUUCCGGAGAGGGAGCCUGAGAAACGGCUACCACAUCUAAGGAAGGCAGCAGGCGCGCAAAUUACCCAAUCCUAAUACAGGGAGGUAGUGACAAGAAAUAACAAUACAGAGCCUUACGGUUUUGUAAUUGGAAUGAGUUAAGUAUAAACCCCUUAACAAGUAUCAAUUGGAGGGCAAGUCUGGUGCCAGCAGCCGCGGUAAUUCCAGCUCCAAUAGCGUAUAUUAAAGUUGUUGCAGUUAAAAAGCUCGUAGUUAAUUUUCUGUUAAUUUUUAUAUACAAUGCUACGGUAUUUAUAUAAUAUUAACAUAAUUCAUAUUACUUUUUAGUAUAUGAAACUUUACUUUGAGAAAAUUAGAGUGCUUAAAGCAGGCUAUUGCCUUGAAUACUCCAGCAUGGAAUAAUAUUAAGGAUUUUUAUUCUUCUUAUUGGUUCUAGAAUAAAAAUAAUGAUUAAUAGGGACAGUUGGGGGCAUUUGUAUUUAACAGUCAGAGGUGAAAUUCUUAGAUUUGUUAAAGACAAACUACUGCGAAAGCAUUUGCCAAGGAUGUUUUCAUUAAUCAAGAACG